CGAUGAUCGGCAAGCUUUCUUGGACGGAUAAAAUGCCUUAAUGUAAAAACGGUACCUAACACAACACAAACAGCACUGACAACAAUGUAAGCUAUUCCAAGGAAUGGAUUCUUUCCUCCAAGCACCGAUCUCGUCGUAAGAACCAGAGAUUUGGUACCGUCAAAGCUCUUAACAGGAAAAAACAACCCAAUUUUUAUUUCGUAUGUUCCUGGAAAAAUAUCGUCGUUAUCGUUCCGCAUAGCCAACUUACUGAAAGUAGGCAGACCAGCUGUACGCAUCCAAACCUGUAAAUUUUCCAUAGUUGACAAAUCUGGCAUGUUUGAUUCAGUAUAACCAUCAGGAUAACGCAAAACCCAAUUGGGAGGAGGUGCAACAUCAUCAGGAC